rnacentral:rRNA from 1 species
GACGAACCGUGCGAACGUUGUUCGGAAUCACUGGGCUUAAAGGGCGCGUAGGCGGGCGAUCAAGUCAGGGGUGAAAUCCUCCAGCUUAACUGGAGAACUGCCUCUGAUACUGGUCAUCUUGAGUGAGGUAGGGGCGUGCGGAACUGAUGGUGGAGCGGUGAAAUGUGUUGAUAUCAUCAGGAACUCCGGUGGCGAAAGCGGCGCGCUGGACCUUAACUGACGCUGAGGCGCGAAAGCCAGGGGAGCGAACGGG